AUUCAUUCUUUUGCACAAAACAAAAAUCUGAUAAUCCUCAUCUUUCUCUCUGUACUCUCACGCCCUCUUUCUCUCUUCUCACCACAACCAUCAACUUCUCUCCAUCUUGAAUCAAUCACCACAUGCAAUCCUUUGGGUUAUUAAUAGGUAAGAUUUGUGGCUAGAUGUUGUCACUCCUCACCCAAUCUUUCUCCCUCAUGCUCAAAAUCCUUUUACCUAAAUUCUCAAAGAACAGCUACUGCAUGUUAGAGAUCUUACUUGGGUUGAGUUUAUUGUUCAGAAGCUUGAGGUAAGAAGGAAAAAGCUCACUCUCCCUUUCCAAACUGUCAAUGAGUUUUUCUUCAUUUAAUCCAAUUAUCCAAAUACCUAUUCUUCACCUCUUACUCGAAAUUGGUCACUUCAUGUGUUGUCUUUACCCCUUAAAGCACUCUCUGAAGUUGAUUGUUGGUGGUUGUGCUACAGCAACAGUUGGAUUGUUAAGCUAAAAACAGAUUUUGGAAUAAUUGAAAGAAGUAUGUGAAACCUGUAUUCUGGACAGGGUCUCACUAAAAUGGUCAGUACUCUCUCCUCUUAACUCCGUUUUAAAUUCCCUUUGUUUCUAUGGUUAGCUAACGAAAUUUCGGUCGUUUGGAUGCCAAUUUCGUGAACUGGAAAGCUGUAACAAAUUCGAGAGACGCGUCUGAAGUCCAAGAUCAGAUGCAGAAUUUUGGAUUGAAGUUAGCAUCAUAGUCAUCUUACGAGUUAUUGGAAAUACAAAUGGAGCCUUAAAGGUUGAUUUUGGAGUACAAGGCAGUAGUUCUCUUUCUUGGACUUCAGAUAAACAGGUUGCAGUGUAGAGAACUAUGGACUAGAAGAAGUGAAGUGGCAUUGGAUGUUAUUGUCAUUGUUUAUCUGGAUAUUCUAUUAAGCUGUUGUAUAAUUUAGUGUCAUAGUAUAUAUGUAUUGACCAGUUAUUUAUGGCUCUGAUGUAAGUUUUUAAGUUACAUUAUGACAGGAAUGUUAUCAUUCAGUUUAGUCAAUACUUGUAGAAUGACAAGGCUUUUAUGUUUUAUGGGUAUAUACAACGAGUUUAAUUCACUAA